GGUCCUGUUUGCUUAUUAUAGAUACAGAUAUCUUUCUUUUUUGCUCCUAAAAGAACUACAAUAUCCUUCUAAUGUUGUAAUCAUAUGCUCGGAAUGCUAAGUUAAUAACAGAAUUCUUAGUAGUUAGUUUGGUUAGUUUGGUCACCAAGACUAUUUCUUGUUCUUUAUGGUGCUCAGCCUCCAGGGGCACAAUUGGCAAAAUUAUGUGACUAAGCCUUUUGUGCC
rnacentral:lncRNA from 1 species